CCUACGGGUGGCAGCAGUGAGGAAUAUUGGUCAAUGGGCGGAAGCCUGAACCAGCCAAGUAGCGUGCAGGAUGACGGCCCUACGGGUUGUAAACUGCUUUUAUACGGGAAUAACGCGCCUUACGUGUAGGGCUUUGCAUGUACCGUAUGAAUAAGGACCGGCUAAUUCCGUGCCCGCCGCCGCGGUAAUACGGAAGGUCCGGGCGUUAUCCGGAUUUAUUGGGGUUAAAGGGAGCGUAGGCCGCAUGUCAAGCGUGCUGUGAAAUGUCCGGGCUCAACCCGGGCCUUGCAGCGCGAACUGGCGUGCUUGAGUCGGCGGAAAGCAGGCGGAAUUCGUCGUGUAGCGGUGAAAUGCUUAGAUAUGACGAAGAACCCCGAUUGCGAAGGCAGCAUGCUGCAGCGGAACUGACGCUGAUGCUCGAAAGCGCGGGUAUCGAACAGGAUUAGAUACCCCUGUAGUC
rnacentral:rRNA from 1 species